CGGAAAAGGACAUCGAAGAAUGUUCUUGGAAAAAGGAAGUGUAUUAGGUGCCGGCGGGCCCGUGGAACCAGCUGUGGAGUUGAGUCUAAUUGGCGGCGUGAAAGCGACCGUGAGCGGUUCCUUGUCGCACACGUGCGUUCCGCAUUGGAUGGCCCUCGAGCUCUUGCCAAGGAAGUCCCGGAACCGAUCUGUCACUGAGCGAGCAGUCAGAUUGCGGGAAGGCACCCAGAGGCAAAGGUUCCACCGGAGGCAGCUGGGGCGGCCGAGCGAGGCACUUGGUGAUUAUAUCGGAGCUUCAUCUCGUAGAUCGAUGGAUUGAUCACUUGCAAGACGUCCACGGAACGUCAGUCCCCCAAGUGCGUCCACACGGAGGAGACGAG